rnacentral:rRNA from 1 species
UACAGAGGGGGCAAGCGUUGUUCGGAAUUACUGGGCGUAAAGGGCUCGUAGGCGGCCAACUAAGUCAGACGUGAAAUCCCUCGGCUUAACCGGGGAACUGCGUCUGAUACUGGAUGGCUUGAGUGUGGGAGAGGGAUGCGGAAUUCCAGGUGUAGCGGUGAAAUGCGUAGAUAUCUGGAGGAACACCGGUGGCGAAGGCGGCAUCCUGGACCAUUACUGACGCUGAGUGAGCGAAAGCCAGGGGAGCAAACGGG